rnacentral:tRNA from 1 species
GCCGAGUUAGCUCAGUUGGUAGAGCGACUGAUUUGUAAUCAGUAGGUCGUUAGUUCAAGUCUAAUACUCGGCA